UACGGGGGGGGCAAGCGUUGUUCGGAAUUACUGGGCGUAAAGCGCGCGUAGGCGGAUCACUAAGUCAGGGGUGAAAUCCCGAGGCUUAACCUCGGAACUGCCUUUGAUACUGGAGAUCUGGAGAUCGGGAGAGGUUGGUGGAAUUCCGAGUGUAGAGGUGAAAUUCGUAGAUAUUCGGAGGAACACCAGAAGCGAAGGCGGCCAACUGGCCCGAUACUGACGCUGAGGCGCGAAAGCGUGGGGAGCAAACAGG
rnacentral:rRNA from 1 species